CACACCCACAUCCUGUUUGAUCACCUGAUUAAGCUGAUAAAUACCCAACAGUACUCCCAAGUGAACAACACGUUAUGGAAAUUUUUGACAUAAACUGGUGUUCAAAGAUUAUCCUUUUCAGUAGAGUCACAUCUAGAACUUAUCCGGGCGUUUUAAUACAAACAUUUGCGGAGUUGGAGCGUGAUGAGGGAUAAUGAAGAUGAAAACCAACAUUUUGGCAUUAAAGUAAAAGUUGAGGAAAAUGUCAAAGAAAAAUGUGUCAUUAUAACAAUGAAGUACGGAAAAAAAACAAAAGAAAUUCAUAUUUCUACACUUAGCCUAAAGGAGAAAUUCUCGAAAGAGAAGAGAGCCUUAUUAGACUUUAUAGGUCCUUUUAAUGAAAAUACUGUAUUUAAAAAAAUUACUUUCCAAAAACCAAAUAACACAUUUGAAAGUAACUAUGUGAUUUACAUCACUAGUUUCUAUGAUUAUGUCAACGUAAUUGAGUAUUUCUGGAAAAAUAAGGAAAAAAUACAAAAUAUAACGGACCCAAUUUAUAUAAUAUCAGGGUGUUAUAUUUCUUUAAUAGAUAGGAAUGAUUUCUACAUUAAAACUGAGCUCAGAAUUAAUGAUAACGAUAUUGAACUUGCAAUUCAGGAAGGAAAACAUUUAAAUCAUGUCCCAUAUAGUACAUUAGAUAAUAAGGUAUCGAUGAACCUAGAUUUCUGUCUUGCUCUCACUGAUAUAAUCUUUGGAAAUCAAGAAAAACUUCUUUGUAUAAAUAAUAGUUUUGACAUCACUGCUUUAGUUGCGGUAUUAUUUUCAGAGGUAAUCAGAAAUCCAGGGAUGAUAUUUAUUAACCUAAUUGCAAUGACAAUGGAUUCCUUAAAUACUUGGAAAGACUUCCGCCAGAUUAUGCCACCUUUAGUUGGGGGAACCUGGGAAAAUAAACAGGAGUACUGUUCCAAAUUUAUGAAACGACUAAACCUAUUUUUUUCAAAAACAUUUUCUGAAACAUUUUCUGAAAUUAUUUGAACAUGGAAAUUCUUUGAUUAAUUGAAUUUAUUUUAAAAAGUUGUCCUUCAUGGAAGGGGCGGGUGGUGGAGGGUCCAAAUAAAACAAAAUAAAACAUCCCAAAAUGUUAUAAAAUAUCAACAAAUUCAUCUUCAUUAUCCCCCACGUUGUUCCACCUCCGCUUCUGGGAGGAGCCAGGCGGGGCCACAGAGCGGACUCCCCCAUCUCAUCCCACCAACUCUGUCAGUCCAGCAGGCCCCACAAUGCAGCCUCCACACCACUGCAGUAACAGCCACAUCUUCCCAUCACAAUGCUUCAGUACUAUCUCAAUGUGUUGAAGUACCAUCCAGGAUCCUGUGUUAACGUCAAUGUGAAACAGCAUUGACCCGUGAUCACCACCAACCAGGGCUCCACAGCGGUAUCCUUGGACACCCAGUGAAUCCAGAGAGAGCACACCAGGCAGCAUUGAGCACUUUGAUGAGAUUGGCUGUUCAGCAGGAAGAUUCAUCUGGCUACACAGAAGGGAUGAUGGCUCUGACCAAUAAAAUUCUAUUUUUGAAACUAUAUAACUGAAUAAACUAUGAUUUAACUAAAAACAUAUUUCUGUUUUGGUUAGUAAUUAUUGCCUUAUUUCACUGUAGAGCCUCUAGCCCUGCUAAAUACG
rnacentral:lncRNA from 1 species